rnacentral:lncRNA from 1 species
GAUCGGCCGGGCCGUUUGGAGCCGCACAGGCGUUGGGCCUGCGCAAUCGAUUCACACAUCCACUGCAGGACGUCCAGGCGACCGGCCUUGGCGGCGGCGCAAAGCACGCCGUCGACGGCGGGCUCGAGUCGCCGACGGGCAAACAGGCCCUGCACGAUGGCGAGGGGCGCGCCCGAUUCGACAACGCGACCCAAGCGUGAUCCGUGAGAGCGCACCAGCAGAUCAAACAGAUGGGCGGCAUCAAACACAGACGAUGCGCUCAUGCAAGCCACCACGUCGCUACAUGUGCCUAGACCCUGCGCGAUGAGGUCGAUGAUUUCGCGGGGCAUGGCCAAAAGGCCCGUGCUGUGCGCUGCGUCGUCUGCACCCACGGGCCCGGAACGGUGAGAGGCGGCCAUGGGGCAAGGCGCGUCACGAAUCAUGCUAAACAAUGACUAGUCAAAGGUCUCAAAACUGCAUAUGGACCUCGACGCAAUAGAAUCGCCGGCAGUGGCAGUCGUGCGCUUUGGCCCUUGCCCAGGCGUUAGGCAUGGUGUCACACUGCCACGCCGCCGUGUCGCGCAGGAAUCUGCAGCGGCGCACGAUGGCCAGCCCAACAGGAUCUGCAAAUCGGUGUACCCGCCACUUUUUGAAAAGAGAGAAAAAAACACUGUCCCGCAU